GGAGGAGGAGGAGGUGCAGAAGGAGGCGGAGGUGAAGAAUAAAAAGGCCAAAGGAGAGUUUCUACCUUCUCGAAGUAAAGUUGUAGGAAUGCAAGCAAAGAAGAAAUUACCAGGGAUUGAAGCUGUGGAGGAAGAAGAGCCAGGAGAGGAAGAGGAAGAGGAAGAGGAGGGGGAGGAGGCAGCUGAUAAU